GGCUGCUCCAAAGGUAGUGAGUUAUCUCAAUUCAUUGUUCACAGUCCGUUACAGAUAGAACUCCUGGUUCUACUCUUUCCCCUUCUUACUACUGCACUCGACUAGCCUUAA
ensembl:misc_RNA Y_RNA Y RNA